CCCUUAGACGUUCUGGGCCGCACGCGCGCUACACUGACCAGUGCAACAAGCAUCCGUCCUUGGCCGACAGGCUCGGGCAAUCUUUGAACGCUGGUCGUGAUGGGGAUAGACUUUUACAAUUUUUGGUCUUCAACGAGGAAUUCCUAGUAAACGCAAGUCAUCAACUUGCAUUGAUUACGUCCCUGCCCUUUGUACACACCGCCCGUCGCACCUACCGAUUGAAUGGUCCGGUGAAGCCUCCGGAUUGGCGCGCACCUCGGUGCCGCCGAGAAGUUGGCUAAACCUUACCAUUUAGAGGAAGGUGAAGUCGUAACA
rnacentral:rRNA from 1 species